rnacentral:tRNA from 1 species
CAGGAUGGAGCUCAGCAGGAGAGCAUCUGCUUUGCAUGCAGAAGGUCUCAGGUUCAAUCUCUGGCAUCUCUGG